rnacentral:lncRNA from 1 species
GCGGAGGGCCCAGUCUCCCCGACUUGGGACCGGUCCCCGAGAGCUUCCCUCGGGCGCACGCGUUCGGGAACCGGUCUCUCCCCGGGAGACCGGUCCUCGGGAGACCGGUCCUCGCCUGAGAGACCGGUCCCCGAGAGUUCGAUUUUCAGGACUUAGCCAAAUUUCGGCAUUUCUCGCUGGGACCACGUUCGGGAACCGGUCCCUCCCUACCAGGGACCGGUUGCACCAAGCAACCCCGCUACACCCAGCCGAGGGAACCGGUCUCUCACCUCCAGAGAUCGGUCCCCGAGAGCAACAUCAGCCCAAAAAUGCAGUUUGC